rnacentral:rRNA from 1 species
CGGGGGCCCGCACAAGCGGAGGAGCAUGUGGUUUAAUUCGAUGAUACGCGAGGAACCUUACCCGGGCUUAAAUGUAGCGUGCAUUCCCGAGAAAUCGGGAUUUCCUUCGGGACCCGCUACAAGGUGCUGCAUGGUUGUCGUCAGCUCGUGCCGUGAGGUGUCGGGUUAAGUCCCAUAACGAGCGCAACCCCUAUCUUUAGUUGCCAGUCCCGGCUUGUCCGGGAGGGACUCUAAAGAAACUGCCCGCGCAAGCGGUGAGGAAGGUGGGGAUGACGUCAAAUCAGCACGGCCCUUAUGUCCGGGGCUACACACGUGCUACAAUGGCCGGUACAGUGGGCAGCUCAUGCGCGAGCAUUUGCUAAUCCCUAAAACCGGUCUCAGUCCGGAUCGGAGUCUGCAACCCGACUCCGUGAAGCUGGAUUCGCUAGUAAUCGCACAUCAGCCAUGGUGCGGUG